rnacentral:tRNA from 1 species
GCCCCCAUAGCUUAGCCCCAAAGCAUGGCACUGAAGAUGCCAAGACGGUACCCAUACUACCUGCGGGC